rnacentral:lncRNA from 10 species
CUCGACCUGGCCGGGCGGCGGCGGCGGCGGCGGCCUGGCCUAAGUUUGACUUUGAAGGAUCACUUUCCCCUGUCAUUGCACCCAAAAAAGCAAGGCCUUCUGAGACUGGAUCUGAUGAUGUAAGCAUUAUUAUUUCUUGCUAAUAUAAAUUAAUUUAUGGAUAUUCAUACUAUUCUUCCACUUCUGUGGUAUUCCUAUCAAUUCCUCUAUCUUUCCAACACCUUUCACUUUAUUUAUUUUAAUACUGAAUAGCAAUUAUUUUGAAGAGUAGGAUCUGUUACAUUUUCUAUGGUCUUUAAUGAUUAUCCAAAAAUUAAUGUAUGUAUUACUGCAUGAUUUCAGUUUGGGUUUGUAGACAUUUUAUUAUCAACUGAUCACCUGAAAUGACAGCAUUUACCUUUUUUAUGCAGUGUUUUUUAAAUUAAGGUUCUCAAUCGUAUCAGGUUCCAUGGUAUAUUCCUUUUUUUUUUUUUUUUUUUUUUGAGACGGAGUAUCGUUCUUGUUGCCCGGGAUGGAGUGCAGUGGCACGAUCUGAGCUCACUGCAAUCUCCGCCUCCCAGGUUCAAGCAGUUCUCCUGUCUCAGCCUCCUGAAUAGCUGGGAUUACAGGCGCCCGCCACCAUGCCCGGCUAAUUUUUGUAGUUUUGGUAGAGACAGGGUUUCACCAUGUUGGCCAGG